UACAGAGGGUGCAAGCGUUGUUCGGAAUUAUUGGGCGUAAAGGGCGCGUAGGCGGUGCCACAAGUCACCUGUGAAAUCUCCGGGCUUAACUCGGAGCCUGCAGGCGAAACUGUGGUGCUGGAGUGUGGGAGAGGUGCGUGGAAUUCCCCGGUGUAGCGGUGGAAAUGCGUAGAUAUCGGGAGGAACACCUGUGGCGAAAGCGGCGCACUG
rnacentral:rRNA from 1 species